rnacentral:rRNA from 1 species
AUUGAACGCUGGCGGCAGGCCUAACACAUGCAAGUCGAACGGUAACAGGAUGUGCUUGCACAUCGCUGACGAGUGGCGGACGGGUGAGUAAUGCUUGGGAACUUGCCUUUGCGAGGGGGAUAACAGUUGGAAACGACUGCUAAUACCGCAUAAUGUCUUCGGACCAAACGGGGCUUCGGCUCCGGCGCAGAGAGAGGCCCAAGUGAGAUUAGCUAGUUGGUGAGGUAAAGGCUCACCAAGGCGACGAUCUCUAGCUGUUCUGAGAGGAAGAUCAGCCACACUGGGACUGAGACACGGCCCAGACUCCUACGGGAGGCAGCAGUGGGG